GAUGAACGCUGGCGGCGUGCCUAAUACAUGCAAGUCGAGCGAAUGGAUCAAGAGCUUGCUCUUAUGAAGUUAGCGGCGGACGGGUGAGUAACACGUGGGUAACCUGCCCAUAAGACUGGGAUAACUCCGGGAAACCGGGGCUAAUACCGGAUAACAUUUUGAACCGCAUGGUUCGAAAUUGAAUGGCGGCUUCGGCUGUCACUUAUGGAUGGACCCGCGUCGCAUUAGCUGGUUGGUGAGGUAACGGCUCACCAAGGCAACGAUGCGUAGCCGACCUGAGAGGGUGAUCGGCCACACUGGGACUGAGACACGGCCCAGACUCCUACGGGAGGCAGCAGUAGGGAAUCUUCCGCAAUGGACGAAAGUCUGACGGAGCAACGCCGCGUGAGUGAUGAAGGCUUUCGGGUCGUAAAACUCUGUUGUUAGGGAAGAACAAGUGCUAGUUGAAUAAGCUGGCACCUUGACGGUACCUAACCAGAAAGCCACGGCUAACUACGUGCCAGCCGCCGCCGUAA
rnacentral:rRNA from 1 species